UGUUUGUCCAGACAGCUGAAUGCAGCGACAUU
rnacentral:piRNA from 1 species